GCUCGGUGGCUUUCAUAGAAAAAGCAAAAUGAUACUGGAAAAAGACUGGAUUUGUGUUAGCAAUGUAGAAAAACCUUUUGGUUUGUUUCAUUGAAACACAUGAGAUGUCACGUUGAGAAGAAAUCUUUUUUAAAAAAAAUAAUGAAAUAUACAAAUAGUUUUUGAGCUUAUAGCUCCUUGAAGUACAUCAAAGAGAAAUGGGCCUGUGGCUACACGCAGUAUGGUAAAGCCUUGUGCAGUCCCAGAUCUUGGAGGAGACAGAAGAAAACUCACGCUGUAUAGAGACUUUAUGUAUGUGUAUGCGGUGUUGUAGAAAAGCUCUUCUCUGCUUCCCUAUUCCCUCUGAAUACUUGGAAGGAGUCACUGUGGAGAGAAACCCUUCAUGUAUAGGCAAUCUUGGAUAGUCUUGGGUUAUCACAUCCUCUUAUAGACAUGAAAGAACCUACUGUAGGGAAACCUUAAAAACAGGAUUUGUGAACUCUCAUCAGCUUCAUAGAACUCACAAGAAUGUACAUGGGGAGAAUUCCUAUCAGGACAAACCUAUAUGAACACCAUUUGGUUCAGUGAACACACAAGGAAAGAACUUGAUACGGAGCGCUAAUCUUCUCAGAAGAGAUGUUCACGGUUUCAUUUGGCACAGAUGGAAACGCAUACCAGAUGAAAACCUUUGCUGUUGAAAAACAUUGAAAAAUCUAGAGCAGUAGCGAAUAAAGGAAAAGUCCUUUGAAUUUUUUUAUGUUUAAUCUGAUAAAUGUCAGUAUUAUGAAGGACUGGACACAUUAUUAUUAUUUUUUGUAGCAUGAUCCAGGAAAUGCAUACUCUGAAGAGAAUGUUAUCAGUAUAGUAUUUGUAUUUAUUGAAAAAUUUCAGGGGCUUAUAGGGAUGAGUUAGCCUUUAAGAGCAUUUGCUUCACAGCACCAUGUCACGGAGCUCACAACUGCACGUGACUCAGUUACAGGAGAUCAAUUCCUCCCUCACACACUUGUACACAUAAAAAUAAAACUUAAAUAUUUUUCUAGUUUUUUUUUCCCCCUAGAAAAGCUUUGUUGUGUAUCCCAGGUUGACAGGAAACUGUUAAUCUUCCAGCUUGUAGCUUUUGAAUGUUUAAAAUGAAAUGCGUGCUUCCACACUCACUGUCAUUAGCUCCUGUUUAAGAGUCCAUCUCUUGCCUUGUCUUUAAAUUUACUCUACAGAAGCAAGCAGUAAGCAGAGCAUUGAGUAAUGUGGAAUGGCAGCUUAAACGCAUGAACUGCAAACCAGUAAGACCUACAUAUGAAAAAAGCUGACAGGAAUAGAAAGUACAUUUUACAUUUGUGAGAUUCCUUAAAGUAAUCACGUGUUAAUUUAAUGAGUGAGGUCUUUUUGUAUCAAAUAAGGUAGAUGCUUCUCAUUGUAAAUUAUGUUGGAUUCAUUGGUGAAUUGAUAUUUGAAGUUUGCCAUUCCACAUAAACAUUUUUAAAAAGCAUUUAGUAUUUGUGUGCGAGCAUGUAAGCAUAUGUCGACAUAUGCCCAUGGAGGCUAGAAUGCUUUGGAGAUGCAUUGCAGACAUUGUGACAUGUUUGAUGUGUCAUGGGAUGGAAAUCCUAGUCUUCAUGAUUGAACAGUAAGUAUUCUUAACUGCUCAUCCGUCCCUCAAGCCCCUGCAUAAAUGUCUUGUUUUUCAAUCAUGUUUAAUGGUAGUUAAAGAAAAUGGCUUUGUGAAUAUUGGAAUAGUCUUGUUGGUUUUAUUUGGCUGAUUAUAAGCAUUUUGUGUAUACGCUCAUUUUUCAUGAAAAAAAAAUGUGUGCGUGGAUGAGUGUGCAUUGGGGGGCAUUGUUUGUGUGUUGCUGGUAUGGUUGGUGGUGCUCACAAAGUGAACAAAGUAAUAUAUUGGGUAUCUUGCUCUAUCACUCUGUCCCCUCACAACAGGGUCUCACUGAGCCUGGAGCUGGGCAGGCAGCCGGCAGAAGCAUUUCUUUACUCUUGUUGAGUAUAGAGACACUGUAGAAGUUGGAUCUGGUUCUUCCUUUCAGCCUCAUGUUCCCAGAAAUAAGACUCAAAAUAUAUUUUCAAAUACCUUAGCCAUAUUGCUAAGCUCUUUUCUGACUAGAUCGUAAGUAAAGACAACCCUUUUCUUUUAAUCUAACAUUCUGCUAUGUGGCUGGUUACCUGUGCUGAGGUACCUUGCGCCUGUCUAGUCACAUUUUCCUGGGCAAAUCUGCUUCUGGCUCUAUCCCAGAAUCUUUUCUGCCUCCUGAUGUCCCACCUUCCAUUUCCUGCCUAAACUAUAGGCCAUGGGCUUUUUAAUUGACCGGUACAAUACUGAAGAUAUUUUCUCUAGAGAUGUACUCAGUCAUUCCCAGGGAAUGAAACUUGAUUCCUCAUGAUUGCACAGCAAGUGGGCUCCCCACUCAGCCACCUCCUCAGAACUAAGCCAGUUUUAAACUGAUUUUGUCUCUUUUGUCUAUGUUGCUCUCUGAUGUGUUCUCACAAUCCUGAGUAUGUGUUCUUUUUGCUUUGAAGUAUUUUCAAAAUAGUUUUAGAAUAGCAAAUGUUAGGGUUGAUUUUGUUUUUCCUAUUCAGAAGGUAGGUAUAAGUAUAUUGUAAUCAUAGGUCAGACCAUUCUCCAAGUUGGCUUAUUUCUUACUUUUGAGAGUGUCAUAUACAUAUACAAUAAAAGAUAACCAUGUGUAUCCACUGCUUUCUCCUUCCAGCCCUCCCUAUUUCUCCCCCACCCCCACUUAACUGUCUUUAACAAUAACCUACUAGUCUAGUUAGUGUAACUCAUACAUGCACGAGUAUGGAGCAUCCACUAGAGGAUGGGUGACCUGCCAGUAUUUACAUCUCCACAAGUGAUUCUCCAUCCCCAUGUUCACUGUCAGUAGCUUCUCAGUAAGGGACAUGCUGGGAUUUGGCUUACAGUGUAAUCUUACAAUGUAGGGCUUGUGCAUGCAGUCACCUUUGCUGAGUUCAGGGUUACUGUACUCACGUCAGACACAAGCAGCAGAAACCCCCAGCAUUUCACGGCACUCCUCCUUCCCUCUGGCUCUUCUAUUCUUGUUGCUUUUUCUUUGAUUUUUCGCUGAGCUUUGCUGAUGGCGGAGAUUAAUAUAGCUGUCUCAUUUAGAGGUGAACAUUCAGUCUCUUUCGUAGCCCUUUGACCAGUUGUGCACCACUCCAUUGACAGCUGUCCACUGUAAAAAGAAGCUUUUCUGACCAAAGUUGAGAGCAGUCACGUUCUCUUGGUGCCAAGAGCUGAAUGGAUGGCAGGAACUUAGUUUAUAGGGUGUUUUGUUUUGUUUUGUUUUUUCAGAUGGUGUCAUGCUUCAUGGCCUUGGCUAGCCUAAGUAGGCCAGAUUAUUGUCAACUUGUGCUUAAUUUUUAUUUAAGUCAUGAACUAUUAGUGUAUGUGUGUGUGUUUUAUGUAAUUUUACUGUGUAAAAUUUGCUUUUCAUGUGUAUUUCAUUUUCAUUGUAACUUCUCUAGUUAUUACACUAAGAGAUAUAUUGGUAGUACUGCCUUACUAAAACCAUGUGUUCAAUAAAUUUACUCUGUAUACAUGGUAAGUGAGUGGCUCAUCUAUAAAAGGAUUCUCCAUAUUGCUUCAGGCAAAACUAACGUUUUAAUUUGGAAGUCUUACAGGGAUUGGUUCUGUAGUUCAGUGUUCCCUGUGUUGGAUGCGCUGAGUGGUGACUAUAGUUCUGCUCUUCUAAUCACAACGGUUGUUAUCCAGAAGACUGAGUGCUGGAUUAAAGGGAGAUGGAAGUCGUGAGAUGUGCUAGUUAGUCCACCAGUGAGAAGAAGGUACUUUCCUAUUUCAUGAAUCAGAAUGUUUUACAGUUUUAACUUAAGGUGUCCUUUUAGAAUGCUUUUCUGUUGUAGUCAUUAAGGAACAUUGCUCACCGGUAGAGGCUUGGGACAAGGGAGAAGAUGUACCUUGCUUUGUGAGGUAAACAAUAGUGUUCUGGAUCGUUUUUGCAUUUCUUAGUUCCUAUAUAAACACUAAUAUUUACUAUAAUAUGAUGGAUGCACUCGUCCACAUAUAUAAGUGUGCCUAGAGUUUCCCUAACAUUACAUUAUGCUAAGUAAAGUGAGAAUACAAGAAAAGCACUUUACACUCAACGUAGUGGUCAUCACACCUUAGAUGUCUACAACAACAAUUUUGCCCACACUUAUGUUUUCCUUAAGUUGGAAAAAGGGGCUUUUUCUUUGUAUAGAACGUUUUUAUUUAAACCUUUUUUUAAAAAUUGUUAGCUUGUAUGCUGGCAAAGCUGUAGGUUUUCAGAUGACAUUGUGACCCAGGUUUCCAUGUACUUUAACCAUAAUCACUGUUUCUUGUUCUUUUUCUUCUCCCUAGUGGUUCUGUUCUCCCAAACAGACUCACUUAGAGGUUCAUUUCUCUAGUUAAAGUCUAGACUCUGCUCUGUAUAGAAGGAACACCAUUUGGAGAUGAGUCGUCACUUACAUAUUGUUCUCCAGUUUCCUGCUAAUAACAAACAGUUCUUGGUGACCUAGUCUAUAAAAAUUGAAAAAAAAUUAGUUUAUCUAUUGAUGGGCACUUAGGCUGAGAUGGGCACUUUGGCUGAUUCUAUAACCGAGUGCAGUGAAUUGUGUAGGAACCCAAGUACAAGUGUUUCUAGUAUACUCUGACUUAGUAUAUUGUAUACCAAACAAUAGUACAGCAGGAUCAUAAGAUAGUAUAUUUUGAUUUUUGAUGAAAUUCUAUUUUCUAGAGUGACCAUGCUAGUGCUCAUUUCCAAGAGCAGCUGUAAUAGGCUCACCAAUUUGUGUUGUAGUUUGGUUCCUUGAUAGCUAUUCACACUGGGGUAAUUGUAUUAAGAAUUUUCAUGUAUUUAUUAGUUAUUUGUACAUUGCUUGAGAAUAGAUUGUUUCUCUUUGUGUUGGUUCAGUUACUUGUUCACUUGUAAUUUUUGUUGCCUUGUACUGAUUUUUUCAUCACAUGUUUCAUGUACCUUAAGUUUUUAAGCUUGGGGUGUGUGUGUGUGUGUGUGUGUGUGUGUGUGUGUGUGUGUGUGUGUGUGUGAGCUUUUUGUCUGUAUGUUAAUCCUUCGUCAGAUGAAUGAGAGUCCAAAGAUAUUUUCCCCCACUCUAUGGCUUUCUCCAACAAUUGCUCCUUUUUCUUUAUAAGAGCUCUUUAACUUCUUACGAUGAUUAACUCCCAUUUAUACUUUGGGAAGUUUAUUUUGUUUGUUUUGUUUUUAACAUGGGUUCUUGCUUUGUAGGCCUGACUGGCCUGGAAUUUGCUGAAUGCAUGAGGCUAGCAUCUGAUUUACAGCAUUCUUCCUCUUUUUCUGGGUGUCAACAUUGUCGCCAUGAGCCUCUAAUGUCCAUUUCCUGUUUGUCGUGCCUCCUGUAAACUGUUAGAUUGAGAAUGCAUGGUCCUCUUGGUCUUUUGCUCCGCUCUUGCUCGUGCUCUUCCCUUCCUGCUUCCAUUCUCUCCCUGUUCCAUUUUCCCCCUCUUUCCAUGUGCUCAUGGCCAGCCUCUACUUUUCUAUUCCUCUUCUCUACUCCUCUCUCUCUCUGCCUUUCUCUACCCCAACUACCCUCUUAACUCCUCUCCCCAUGCCCUGAAUAAGCUCUAUUCUAUACUAAAAGAAAGUUUUAAAAAAAGAAUGCCACUGUCCACACCUAUAGCUUCAUGUAUUCUGUAGAUUUUCCUCUGAGUUUCAAGUUUUGUAGGCCUUACGUUAAGGUCUUUGGUAUAGUGUGUGUUGCUUUUAUACAGAAUGAUAGAGGAAUUUAGGGAUCUUCUUGUAUGUACAGUGUUGAUUUCCUCUUGAGGCC
ensembl:lncRNA